rnacentral:rRNA from 1 species
CGGACGGGUGAGUAAUGUCUGGGAAACUGCCCGAUGGAGGGGGAUAACUACUGGAAACGGUAGCUAAUACCGCAUAAUGUCUGCGGACCAAAGCGGGGGACCUCCGGGCCUCGCGCCAUCAGAUGAACCCAUAUGGGAUUAGCUUGUAGGUAAGGUAACGGCUUACCUAGGCGACGAUCCCUAGCUGGUCUGAGAGGAUGACCAGCCACACUGGAACUGAGACACGGUUCAG